CCUACGGGGGGCUGCAGUAACGAAUCUUCCGCAAUGCACGAAAGUGUGACGGAGCGACGCCGCGUGGAGACGAAGUCCUUCGGGAUGUAAACUUCUGUCAGGAGAAAUUUCUCCAGAGGAAGGGGCGACUAACUCUGUGCCAGCAGUCGCGGUAAUACAGAGGCCCCGAGCGUUAGGCGGAAUCACUGGGCUUAAAGCGUGUGUAGGCGGAGGGCUAAGUACCUUGUGAAAUCCCACAGCUUAACUGUGGAACUGCUGGGUAUACUGGUCUUCUUGAGCCAGCUAGGGGCUACCGGAACAAAUGGUGGAGCGGUGAAAUGCGUAGAUAUCAUUUGGAACGCCAAUGGUGAAAACAGGUAGCUGGGCGUGCUGACGCUGAGACACGAAAGCCAGGGGAGCAAACGGGAUUAGAUACCCUUGUAGUC
rnacentral:rRNA from 1 species